UCCGAAUUGGUGUAGUGGCUAACAUUUGACGCUCUCAUCUUCGUUUCCAACGCAGACGGCGCCGUCAAGCCCGGGGUUCGAUUCCCCGAUUCGGAG
rnacentral:tRNA from 1 species